rnacentral:rRNA from 1 species
GACAGAGGGUGCAAACGUUGUUCGGAAUUACUGGGCGUAAAGCGCGUGUAGGCAGCUUCGCAAGUCGGAUGUGAAAGCCCUGGGCUCAACCUAGGAAGUGCAUUCGAAACUGCAAAGCUUGAGUUCUGGAGAGGAAGGCGGAAUUCUCGGUGUAGAGGUGAAAUUCGUAGAUAUCGGGAGGAACACCGGUGGCGAAGGCGGCCUUCUGGACAGCAACUGACGCUGAGACGCGAAAGCGUGGGGAGCAAACAGG